GACGAACGCUGGCGGCGUGCUUAACACAUGCAAGUCGAACGGAAAGGCCCUGCUUUUGUGGGGUGCUCGAGUGGCGAACGGGUGAGUAACACGUGAGUAACCUGCCCUUGACUUUGGGAUAACUUCAGGAAACUGGGGCUAAUACCGGAUAGGAGUUCCUGCUGCAUGGUGGGGGUUGGAAAGUUUCGGCGGUUGGGGAUGGACUCGCGGCUUAUCAGCUUGUUGGUGGGGUAGUGGCUUACCAAGGCUUUGACGGGUAGCCGGCCUGAGAGGGUGACCGGCCACAUUGGGACUGAGAUACGGCCCAGACUCCUACGGGAGGCAGCAGUGGGGAAUAUUGCACAAUGGGCGGAAGCCUGAUGCAGCAACGCCGCGUGCGGGAUGACGGCCUUCGGGUUGUAAACCGCUUUCGCCUGUGACGAAGCGUGAGUGACGGUAAUGGGUAAAGAAGCACCGGCUAACUACGU
rnacentral:rRNA from 1 species